UACGUAGGUGGCGAGCGUUGUCCGGAUUUACUGGGCGUAAAGAGCGCGCAGGCGGCUGGGCAAGUCCGAUGUGAAAGCUUCCGGCUUAACUGGAAAAUUGCAUCGGAAACUGCUCGGCUUGAAGGUGGGAGAGGGUAGCGGAAUUCCCGGUGUAGUGGUGAAAUGCGUAGAUAACGGGAGGAACACCAGUGGCGAAGGCGGCUACCUGGCCCACUCUUGACGCUGAGGCGCGAAAGCUAGGGGAGCAAACGGG
rnacentral:rRNA from 1 species